UGGGGAAUCUUGCACAAUGGGCGAAAGCCUGAUGCAGCGACGCCGCGUGGGGGAUGAAGCAUUUCGGUGUGUGAACCCCUUUCGACUGGGACGAAUGCCUCGCAAGAGGAGUGACGGUACCAGUAGAAGAAGCCCCGGCUAACUACGUGCCAGCAGCCGCGGUAAGACGUAGGGGGCCAGCGUUGUUCGGAAUUACUGGGUGUAAAGGGUUCGUAGGCGGUGUGGCAAGUUGGGAGUGAAAUCUCUGGGCUUAACCCAGAGGCUGCUUCCAAAACUGCUGUGCUUGAGUGUGGGAGAGGCGCGUGGAAUUGCAGGUGUAGCGGUGAAAUGCGUAGAUAUCUGCAGGAACACCCGUGGCGAAAGCGGCGCGCUGGACCACAACUGACGCUGAGGAACGAAAGCUAGGGGAGCAAACAGGAUUAGAUACCCUGGUAGUCCUAGCCCUAAACGAUCAGGACUUGGGGUGCCACCCGUUCGGGUGUCGUCCCGGAGCUAACGCGUUAAGUCCUGCACCUGGGGAGUACGGUCGCAAGACUA
rnacentral:rRNA from 1 species